UGGCUACUCAGGGUUUUAGCUCAGCUGC
rnacentral:piRNA from 1 species